GCGCGAUUAGCUCAGCGGGAGAGCACUACCUUGACACGGUAGGGGUCACUGGUUCAAUCCCAGUAUCGCGCACCU
rnacentral:tRNA from 1 species